AACCUCUUCCAUCUUAUUACAUAUACCCAAUAUAGAAGGGUUUCCUAUUCUCACUCUCACUCUUAAAUUUUUAUUUGCCCCCUCACAUCUGAAAAAUAAAGCUACCACUGCACUUUAACACUGGUCUUCUCUUUCCUCUUCUUUAGAUUAUCAGUACUCUUCCUUUUGGAUCUCCAAUUUCCUGGAUAUCAGCUUUCAAGAGUAAGUAUUUCUCAUUUUG
rnacentral:lncRNA from 1 species